rnacentral:rRNA from 1 species
UACGGGGGGGGCAAGCGUUGUUCGGAAUUACUGGGCGUAAAGGGCUCGUAGGUUGCCAACUAAGUCAGACGUGAAAUCCCUCAGCUUAACUGGGGAACUGCGUCUGAUACUGGAUGGCUUGAGUUUGGGAGAGGGAUGCGGAAUUCCAGGUGUAGCGGUGAAAUGCGUAGAUAUCUGGAGGAACACCGGUGGCGAAGGCGGUUAGCUGGGCAGUUGCUGACACUGAGGCGCGACAGCGUGGGGAGCAAACAGG